AUAACAAGAUUUUGUCAACCAAGCAAUUCCUACCAAAGGAAUAAAAGAAAAAAAAAUUGGGGCAAAAUGCAAAUUUUCAAUUUAAUGAAUACUCACAUGAUACGUUGGGGAUUCCAGAGGAUGGAAUAGGUGUGGAAAUCCGCAGUUGGGUCAAACCAGAGAUGGAACUGUUGCUCUCUGUUUCCCUUUCCUUGACUGAACACAUUGGUAUGAAGAAUGUAAGGAUCCCCACUAAGGUUCCCCAGAAACUCAAAAUCAAUCUCAUCCCAUGUUGAUCCUUUGGAAGAUAGCUGCAGAUAAAUAUAUACAACAGCAUUUGUGCCAUUAACAUCUACACGUCCUCGUAAAAAUUGCGGACAACAAGAAUUAAUUAGAGAAUAACUUACAUAGUAGGCAGUGACUGUGCCAGCAGAGUUGCCAGGGACAAGCUUGAGCUGCGUAUCAAUCUUGCCAAAAAGAUAUUCAUCCUUGGACUGGAAACCGGAGCCAGAAGCUUUGUCAAGGGAGAGAGAGAGAACCUCUCCGUUGUUGUCUAUCUUACCACGGCCAUCUCCCCAUGUGAUGUCAAAAUCUUGAUAGAAGUUGCUAGCUGAUGCUGUCAUGAGACAGCCAAUUACGAGAGACAUAAGCAACGAAAACUUGAAACUUGAAGUUGAGCCCAUUUUCUUCUUUUUUUUCUGGUUUGCCUGGGAAGAGAGAAUGUGUUGGAAUAUGAGGCGUUAAUAGCUUUGAUGUUUUGGUGUCUUUGAGAAGAAGGGUAGAGCUUGGUAUUUAUAGUAAAGAAAAAGGUAGAGGAAAGGGCCAAGGAAGGUGCGUUCAGCUGGGUUGUAGACAGUUGUAGAGUAGGAAACAUAGUAUUAUGUAGCUGUCAAAAUCGCACUAACAAACACGAGCCAACCAUAGCAAAGUUUAUGAUAUCACGCGGCUUUACCCAUUAUUUAUUUUGUGCGUGAGGAACGGGCAGCCCUGUCGGCUCGAGUUCCUGUCGCCAGGUUGGGCCUUUAGCACUAUUGGAUCCAGUUCAGUAGCAGUACCAUGCACACGCAGCAGCACCGCCUUUACUGACCAAACAAUCCAAAAAGUUAAAGGACUAAAUAUGUGAGAACCAUUUUUACCGAGGAGAUGCAGUUUUGUUCUGAAUUUAAUUUUCAGAUAAACCAUAUAUUUUGGUUGAAGGGGAUAGAUAUUUUAAGAUUGUUGUUACCUUUAAAUUUAACAACGUAGCAUUUAUCAAUUUACUAUUAAAAUUCAGUUAUCCGUUUUUCAAUAAUAAAGUUUUAGGUAAUCAAACAGUGUCUAAGCUGGAAACUUUUCUGACUCUAUUGCCAAUGCCAAUUUAAUCUUAUCUACACAAAUAAAUCAUUUUAUAUUAGAAAGAUUGGAGGAGAGAAAAUGAAAAAUAUGUAAGUCCUGCAUUGCAUAUUUAUAAGAUUAAUUGUUUAUAUAUAAUUUUUUAGAUUUUGUUUUUUAUCUUCAAUUAAAAGGAUAUGAUAGUAAAAUAAUAUAAUUUUCAAUUUUUUUUCAUUUUUCAUCUCUAUAAAAUAGUGAAUGAAAAAUUUUAUUUUUUUCAUGUUUUCUACCAAUCAUACUAAUGCAAGCAGAAAAACAAAUAUUUUUUUCCAUCUUUCUACAUUUUCUUCUUUCAAUUUUUCCAUCUUCCUAUUUUUCUUUUCACUCUACUAAGCAAAACUUUAAUGUUUAGCUAUGUUAUAAUUUAGAGUAGGAUAGUGAGGGUAGGGCUCUUGUUUUUUUUUUUUCUUUUCUUUUAACCCCAUCAGAUAGGAGUAGAUUCAAGAAUUUAUUUACGUGGUGUUGUAAUUAAAUUUAUUUUAACUUGAAAUCUUUGAUCCCAUCUUUUACAAUUAUAAAAAAAUUAAUAAAUCUUUAACACCACUCUUUAUAAAAUUUUACUACAUAAAAUUUUAACAUAAUUAACAAAUUUUUUACCACUCCAGUGACACCAUUUGAAUCAAAGUAGGUUUGCCUCUGCCAUCAGAGCAGGUAUGGGGAACUUCAAUGCAAGGUUCCAUGUCAUUUCUUUUAGGGUCGUCCUUGGCUAGUGAAGUGCGGAAUUUUCAAAUCAGUCGGUGUAACUUCCUUGAAUAUCACCUGCCAACUCUCAAGCUUACGCAAAAUUUUACUCAAAAUUUUAUGUUUAGGUGAUCUCCUUCUUCACCUAAUAGCAUGCCAAGUUGCGCAACUUGAAUAAAUACAAUAGGUGAUCUCCUUUAUGCAACUCGGCAUGCUAUUGUAUUUAUUCAUUUUUAACUGGAAUUAAUUAAUGUGCACCUGACAUGCACAUGAAAAAUAUCUUUCUUUGGUAAAUGUUGCUGCCAGUAAACACAUAUCAAGCUGUAAAGGAAUAGCAUUAGUGAUGUCUUAUUAGGAAGAUGCACGCUGCUUCGUUGCUGGUCGCGGAAUAAUUUUAAAUAGAGAUUAGUAAAAAUAAUCAAAUAUAUAUAUAUAACAUCUUAAGAAAAGAGACUAGUUAGUACAAAAUUUAGUGUUAAAGAGUUAAUAUUAAGAACUUAGUUUAAAGUUCAAAAAAGAAAAUUAUGUAUUACUAAUAAAAAGAUAACAGAAUAGUAAAAAGAUGAGUGCAAAUCUAAUAUUAAAGAGCUAAGUUUUAAGUUAAAAAAAAUGAAAUAUUCAGCAUCAAAGGAAGGUGUUGAUCAUCUCGGAAAGCUGUAGAUUAAAAUGAAAAUCUAACCCAUUAAAUUUCAAUGGUCAAUCUCAUUACUUUUAUCGUCAAAUCAUGUAUCAAAUAUUAGGUACACUCCUAUAGUUUAAAUUUUACUUAGGUUAAUUCAAGGUUAAGUAUAAUUAAUUAUACAAAAAGUUUAACCAUUAGUAUUUGAGCAGUCAUAAUUUUGAUUUAGGAUACAAUUAAAUAUUAUUUUAUGUGAUUUGUCAUGAAGUUAUUAUAUAUGAGUUGAGAUCUUUGGAGAGCCAGAAAACUAUUUUUCGAUUACUGAUUUGUUUAGUAAGCAUAAAGCUUUUAUUCCUUCUUGUGAGAAUAUUAAUUGGUAUACACCAUAUUAUGUGCCUUGACUUGUAGAGAGAGAAAUCAAGGGCUAAACUUUCCAGUUCAAAUUUCGAACUCAAUUCAUGAACCGAUUAUGACUUUCAUAUUUUAUGAGUAUUAAUUAAAAUUGAUCGUUCUACAAUAUUUGUUAUAUUGUAUAAAAGAUAAAACAACGUUUUAAUUGCGUUACAUAUGGAGUUUAUAUUACCAAAUAUUAAGAAAAUCAAAAUAGGUCAAGAAUAGGUUAAAACUCAAAAUGACUCAAUGAUUGAUCUCAAUUGCUCUUGUUUUAAUGGAUGUUAAUGUAUGGUCUUCAUAAAAUAUUGUUUUAAUCGAGUUUUUUUAAUAGGUUUAAUUGGAUUAAAAUUGAUCAAAAAUCGAGAAUUAAAGAAAAAACUUAAAUAGACCUAAAAGGGUUGAAGUUUGCUCUCAUCGGGUUGGACUCGACCCAACUGGAGGCUGAAGAAGGGUUGGUCACACAAACCACCCGAACCCACAUGAACACUUGGCGGAUAAGGGCAUGUGCGGCCCACUAGGCCUAAUUUUUGGUUAAGUUUUUGGCAGUUCAACCCCACUCAUCGUGUGCUGCCUAUUGAUGCUAUUAUUUUAAUUUUUAAUGCACAUUUGGUAUUUAUUACUUAUUAUGUACAUUUAAUUAAUUAUUUUAAAUAUUUUAGUGUGGUAUUUCCGGAAUGGUGUAGCAAAAAAUAAUGUGUAUUUUCAAGUUUAAUGAUAGCAUGUGCUUUAUAUGGUAUAAAAAAAAAUUUUAGAGUCUACUACAUCAUCGUUGCCACGCUAACAUGUUAAUAUCACAUCAUCACUACCACGUCAAUAUUUCAGACCCACGUCACCUCACAUCAGCAAUUUUUUGUAUUUUAUAUACUGUCGAGAUAAAGUUACGAUGUACAUAUUUUUACUGACAUCAUGAUGACAUGUCAAAAUUUGCUGAUGUGAGGUGACGUGGGUCUGAAAUAUUGGCAUGGUAGUGAUGAUGUGAUAUUAACAUGUUAGCGUGGCAACGAUGAUGUAGUAGACUUUAAAAAAAAAUUUUAUAACAUGUCAUAGGAAUUAAAUUCAACAAAAUUAUAAAAUAGAUGAACUAAAUUAAAUAAAAUUUAAGAAUAUAAGAACUAAAUUGAAUAAAAUUCAUAAUUACCCGUUAAUGCUCAAUUUUAUAAUAAUUUGUCCAACUUGAAAAUUAAUGUUGAUAACUAUUCAAUUUAUUUAUCUAUUUAUAUGUAAAAAAAAUUAUUAAUAAAACCAUACUACUUUUGUUCAUUUUAUUUUAAAUUAUUAUUUUUGAUAAAUGCUAUUGAUUAUAUUUUCAAUAAAAAUUAUAAAUUAAUAGUGAUAUAUAUAUAUAUAUUGAGAAGUAGAUAAGAUAGAUUAAAUUCCAAAAUGAAUGGAGAAUAAGAUUAUCCUUUACAACCUGACAAAAAGAAUCCACAACAAUAUCAAAUACGGCUUGUGAGAAGCCACUUGGGUAAAUCAGCAUUUACCUUUGAUCUAGCCAAAUAGAAUUGUAAAAACACCUUACAAUAAGCUUGCAUACCUAACCUAUGCAUGUUAAAAAAGUUUGCACAUAAUCUUACCCCAAAGGGAAAAUUCAAAAGAAGGGAUCAACCAGUAAACCACCAAAACAAAGUAAUAGAUUAAGAACAUCAGAGGCUCUCAUGGUAAUAGUAAAUAGCAUUAAGAUCCGCAAGUAAGAAAAAACACAGUAAGAGAUAGCAAGGUACAUAACACCUCAACCCGACUAAACCAUCUUCGAUUGCAUUGUCAUGAAGUCAUUAAUCUAAAGUAGAUCUAUUGGCUUAAGGACUCCUUCUUUGGCCAUUGAGUCAGCGUUUUCAUUAAUAGAGCAUGGGAUAUAUCCUCAUUUUCCAUGGAACCUCUUUGGGAUUAGUAAUCCAUAUGACAACAUUAAAAUUAUCACAUUUAAUAAGAAAAGUGUGAGAAGAGCACCAUUUGGAGGCCGCGAAUAAAAGAGCAACUUCUUUCACCGCUAGUAACUCAACCUUAUUAGAAUCAAAUAUGCAUAUAGAUUUGGAAAAUAAGGCGACCACAUCCCUAUGCUCCCAAGAUAUUGCUUACACCAGAUUCCCCAAGGCAGCCUCUAGCAGCUCUAUUACUAUUAAAUUCGAGACACCCCUUUUGUUGUUUGGCUUAAACCUCCAUUUUCUUAGUUUUCUUGCACUUCAUGGGGGUGAUUCUUUCAUUUGGGAAUUUAACAAGAUCACAAAUUAACGCAUUAUGACCAAGACAUUUAGCAUUCAUCCACCAUGCCACUCUAAGUUUAAUAAGUUCGAAGAUUUGCUCAUCGUCCCAAAUUUUACCUUUGAAAACAAUAUUGUUCCUUGCUGCCCAAACAAUGGCAUACCUAGCCAUUUUCCAAAUCGAGUUGUUGUUGAGGUAGUUAGUAACCUCAAACCAUAAGAGAAAAUAGACCAAGGGGUCAUUAUGGACCUCUCAAUGAACAUUCCACAAGGUCCCCCAUGUCAUAAGUGAAAAACAGGUGACUUAUUGUUCCAGUCUCGUGUUGAAUAUCAAGCAAGCAACCGCCUCUCCAUUAAUAAUGUCAUGACCCGGUACUCCCCUAGAGCCCGUGACAACCAUCGCGAUGUCUCGAUCGACACUCAUUACCCAAAAUGUCAACCAGAACCCCGCAAGGCUUUAAUAUCAGCUUCUCAUUUCCCCUAUGAGUAACCGUUGCUGAAUAUCGUGUUCUAAAAUAUUUUAAGCUAUUUCCAACUUAAAACAAAUAAAAUAAUAAUUUCUGUCUCACAGGGGUAUUUUGGUCAUUUUUUUCAAAAAUCUCAAAAUCAGUUAAAAAUGUAGUAUAUAAGUGGAAAACACAUAUUUCAUAAUCAAAAAUAAUUUUGGAUGUCUAAAACAUUCAUUUAAAAUGAAAUUAUGACUAUUAGAAUAAAAUAAAAAUAUAAAAUAAAAUAUUCAAUUUUCUAAUAAAAUAAUAUUUUUAGAACACUGUGUAAAUAAUUUUUACAGCGUAAAAGCAAAAUAAAUUCAUACAUGUUGUAAUACAGAUAACCAAAGUAUAAAAUUUAAUUUACAGUAACACGUGGGCCCACGAAUGACUAAAAGUAUCAAAAGAAAUGAACCUACAGUUUUGGGAUGUGGCAAGUCCAACUGUAGUCCUCGUCGAUAUCAGUUAUCUACAAUCUAUUCUGAGCUUGAAAUGGGUCGAAAGGAGGGUGGUGAGAUUUUCAAAUCCCAGUGAGUAAGCAAAUAUCAUUUAAAAUAUCUAAAGGCGAGUAAAAAGAGACUAUUAAAAUAUUUCAUCAAACUGUAAUUUAUCACCUUUCAACUUAUUUCAACCAAAUAAAAUCAAUUUAUUUAAAUCAAGUAAUCAGUAUGGCUUAUGAAUUUCCUAAAAGCUUGGCUCAUGCCAAAAAUUAUUAUCAUACUUAGUUAUUUGGGAUACCUUGGCAAAGGGCUAUCCCAAUUGAGUCUGCCAAAGCUAUUAGAAAGUCAUGUUUUAUUUUGAAAAUAUAGCCGUUCCUUGGCGUUGACCGAGUUCCCCCUCACGUGGUGGUUUGGCGUUAAGUAAACUCUAAAAGUUAUACCUCGAGAGUUACCCUACUCGCCUCUCCAACCGAGGUAAAAUAUAACGGGGUUUACCGUGCCCCUCUAAUAGGCUAGUCCACGGAAACCCGCCUACUGCAGUAAGCUAAUAAUUAUCCCACCAAUCAAUAAAAUUCAAUAACAUGAUAUGACAAUUAUUGUAAUUCACAGCCUUUCUAAGCUAAAUACACAUUUCAUAUAUUUCAACAAAAAUAUCAAUUCAACCAUUCAUACAAAUAUUGUCAUAAGCCAUUCGAUUCAAAUCAUAAAUUUUACAACAUAACAGGUGGUCUCCAAUUACUCUAUUUUUCAAAAUCAUUAUUCAAUUUCAAGACAAUUUAUAAAAUCUUUUCAUGUAAACACAUUUUGUUUGUAAAACACAAAGAUUUACCAUUUAGACUCAUUUUCAUAAAAUUUCACCAAAACCGAUUAAAAACAUACUUUAGAUAAUUAAAAUGAUAGUAAGGUUACUCACAGUACUAGGAGUUCGAUAUACUCCUAUUCUCGGUAUUUGGGCACAAUCUCUUUACCCUUGUUAGAGGGCUCACCACCUAUACAUCAUACGUGACACGGAUUUUAAUAAAUUGUGUCAAUUUAUCAUAAACUAUUUCAAGCUCUAUAAAUCUAUAUGAAUGCACGAAAUAUGAUGCAAAAUGUUCGAAUAGCUAUUUAAAUACGGUAUUCGACCUAAUUCGUACUAUGUUCGGUGUAAUUGGCUAAAACCUCCAAUUUAACUCCAAAUCAAUUUCUUUCACUUUCUACACUCCAAUUAUACCUAAAUUACCUCAGUGACUACGAAUGAGAUUCAAUUUAUCAAUCCCGGGUCAAUAAUCACACAUGUCUAUACAUUAGUUAAAAAUUUAAAUUUUUACACCAAAAUUUCCCAUUUAAUUUCUAGCCUCACCAAACAUCAAAUAUCACCAAAAUAUCAUGAAAUAUCAUCGAUUUCAACCACAAUAUCCUCCAUAGGAAAUUCGACCAUUGAUGGUGAAAUGCCCCAUACUUUGAUAUGAUGAUAAAUAAAGUUAGUCGGAUGCAAAUUGAGGCAUAAUAAGGAACUUUGAGAACCAAAGAGAUAAGAUAAAAUUUUUAGAAUAAAAUAAUAUUAAAAUAUUACUAUUUAGUCGGAUGUCGAAAUCAGUCAUGAAGAAUGAUCAUAUGGUUGAUCCAAGUGGGGGAGAAGAUAUCAAGCUUGACUCUGUGAAAUAUUUGUCAUGACAUACAUGUGAUGGAUAGUAUGUUUGCAUGCUAGGAGAGUCCUGAAAAAUUUACAAAAGUCGAUAUUGUACCUAGAGGUACAACAAAGUUGAUUUAAGCCUCUAACUAGAUCAAACAGAGAAUUUAAGAUGAAAUUAAGAAUUUUAAAGUCCUAGAAUGAUUUAAUAUGGUGAUUUGGAGUUCGAGGAUCAAUUUGGAGUCAAAUUGGAAAUUUUACUAUCUAUGGGUAAAAUGGUAAUUUUGCCACUCAAUGACAAAAUGGGAAUUUUUUUUAAAGAUUUUGAUCAUAUUUGACUUAUUGGAGUAUGAUUUGAGGUUGAGAAGUGAAAAAUGGUGAUCUCGGUAUUUUUCAGAGUAUAGGGGUAAAAUGGUAAUUUUAUCGUUCCAGGGGAAAAAUUGUAAUUUUUCACCACCAAAACACUUGUCCAGCACAUGAAUUCUACCUAAUUUUAUCAUGGAUAAUUAAAGGAAUUUAUAUGGUGGAGAGAGAAAGCUUAAUAGUUAAGAAAUAAAAAUGGACCAAUGAAAUGGUGACACAUGGCAUAUUUAUAACCAUUAAAUAUUUAGCUUUAAAAUUUACACAAAAUCAGCCCAUUUCUCAUUCAUAUGGCCUGUUAAAGAAGAACAAAGGAGGAAAGGAAAAAAAACAAGAACCCUAGGUGGGAAAAUUGAAGAAAAAGUGUAGGAUUUCAAGGAAUUAAGCUAAUAAAGGUAAAAUUUCUUGAUUUUGACUUGUGAUUUACACUACCCAUGCUUUCUUUUUCAUUUUUCAUGGUUAGAUUUCAUGUUUUCAUGGUGAAUUCAUGGCUGGCCGAAUGGGUAUGGAGAGAGAAUGAUGUUGGAUUGAUUUGAUUUCAAGUUAUGUUAGUGUUUUUAGUUAGUCAGUGAUGUGUAACAAGAAAAGCCAACAAGAAAAAUUCAUUUUCUCCCAUUACCCAUAAGAGGCUGAAUUUUCUAGGGAGAAUAUUGAGGCUGAAAUUGAUGAUAUUUCAUGAUAUUUUGGUGAUAUUUGAUGUUUGGUGAGGUUAGAAAUUAAAUGGGAAAUUUUGGUGUGAAAAUCUGAAUUUUUGCUUAAUGUAUAGACAUGUGUGAUUAUUGACCCGAGAUUGAUAAAUUGAAUCUCAUUCACAGUCACUGAGGUAAUUUAGGUAUAAUUGGAGUGUAGAAAGUGAGACGAAUUGAUUUGGAGUUAAAUUGGAGAUUUUAGCCGAUUAGGCCAAGUAUAGUGUGACUUAGGUCGAAUAUCACAUUUAAGUGAUUAAUCAGACAUUUUGCAUCCCAUCGCAUGCAUUGAUUUAGAUUUAGAGAGCCUGCAAUAGUUUAUGAUAAAUUGACACAAUUUAUUGAAAUUCGUGUCACGUAUGAUGUAUUGGUGGUGAGCCCUCUAACAAGGGUAAAGAGAUUGUGCCCGAAGACCGAAAAUAGGAGUAUAUCGAACUUCUAGUACUGUGAGUAACCUUAUCAUCAUUUUAAUUAUCUAAAGUAUGUUUUAAUUCGGAUUUGGUGAAAUUUUAUAAAAAUGAGUUAAAUGGUAAAUUUUAGGUUUUAUAAACAAAAAUGAAUUUAAAUGAAAAAAUUUUAUAAAUUGUCUUGAAAUUGAAUAAUGAUUUUGAAAAUAGAGUAAUUGGAGACCACUGGUAUAUUGUAAAUUUAUGAUUGAAAAUUGAUGGCUUAUGUUAUAUUGUUAUUGUGUUGGCAUGACUGGCUGGGCUGUAUUUUAUGAAUUGUAUGGAUUGUCUUAUUUUACCCUUACAAGCUGGGUAGUAAAAUAUUUGCCCUAUCAUGCUGUCAAAAUUUUAUUGUAUGGUGGGUUUAGCUUACUGCAGUAGGCGGAUUCUGUGGACCAGCCUAUUAGAGGGGCACGAAAUCUGGAUAUUUAUAUAUUUUACCUCGGUUGGAGAGGCGAGUAGGGUAACUCCCGAGGUAUGACUUUAGAGUUCACUUCACGCUAAACCACCACGUGAGGGAGAACUCAGUCAACGCUAAGGAACGGCUAUAUUUUCAAAAUGAAAACAUGUGUUAUGCGUACAUGACUUUCUAAUAGCCUUGGCGGACUUAGUUGGGAUAGCCCUCAACCAAGGUAUCCUAGAUAACUGAGUAUGAUAAUAAUUUUUGGCAUGAGCCAAGCUUUUUAAGAAAUUCAUAAGCCAUACUGAUUACUUGACUUAAAUAAAUUGAUUUCAUUUGGUUGAAAUAAGUUAAAAAAUGAUAAAUUACAGUUUGAUGAAAUGUUUUAAUAGUCUCAUUUUACUUGCCUUUAGAUAUUUUAAAUGAUAUUUGUUUACUCACUGAGAUUUUAUAAUCUCACCACCCUCCUUUCCACCCAUUUCAGGUAUUAGGAUAGUCGGUAAAUAGCUCAUUUCAUCGAAGACUAUAAUUGGAUUGGCAUCCUCAAAAUAUGUAAGUUCAAUUCUUUUGACACUUUUAGUUGUUCGGGGGCCCACGUGUUACUGCAAAUUUAAUUUUAUACUUUGGUUAUCUAUAUUACAAUAUAUAUGAAUUUAUUUUGCUUUUUCGCUGUAAAAAUUAUUUACACAGUGUUCUAAAAAUAUUAUUUUAUGAAAAAAUUGAAUAUUUUAUUCUAAUCUUUAUUAUAUUCAAAUAGUUAUAAUUUCAUUUUAAAUGAAAGUUUUAGACGUUUAAAUUUAUUUUUUGAUUAUGAAUUAUAUGUUUUAUACUUGCAUACUAUAUUUUUAACUGAUUUCGAAACUUUUGAGGAAAAAUAACCAAAAUGCCGCUGUGAGACAGAAAUCAUUUUUUUAUUGAUUUCAGUUGGAAAUAGCUUAAAUUCUUUUAGAACAUGAUAUUUGGUAACGAUUGCUAACCGGGGAAAAAAGAAACUGAUAUUAAAGCCUUGCGGGGUUCCGAUUGACAAUCUGGGUAAUGAGUGUCGAUCGGGACAACGUGACUGUUGUCACAGGCUCGAUGGGAGUUUCGGGUCGUGACAGAUGGUUGAUGGGGAAAAUGAAUUCUUUUCUUGUUGUUUUGUUUCUAAAUAUGCUAAACUAACUAAAAACACUAACAUAACUUAAAAUCAAAUCAAUCUAACAUCUUUCUCUCUCCAUACCCAUUUUGACCAGCCAUGAAUUUACCAUGAAAACAUAAAAUCUAACAAUGAAAAAUAAGGAGAAAUGCAUGAAAAAGGUAGAUCACAAGUCAAAAUCAAAAAAUUUUACCUUUGAUUGCUUGAUUCCUUGAAAUCCACCAAUUUUUCUUUGAAUUUUCCCACCUAAGGUUCUUGUUUUUCUUUUCUCCCUUUGUUCUUCCUUUACUCUUGGUUUGACCGGCCAUAUGAAGAGAAAAUGGGCUUAUUUGUGUUAAUUUAUAAGCCAAAUAUUUAAUGGUUUUAAAUAUGCCAUGUGUCACCAUUUCAUUGGUCCAUUUUUAUUUCUUAACUAUUAAGCUUUCUCUCUCCACCAUAUAAAUUCCUUCAAUUAUCCAUGAUAAUAUUGGGUAAAAUCCAUGUGCUGGACAAGUGUUCUAGUGGUGAAAAAUUACUGUUUUGCCCAUGGAGUGGCAAAAUUACCAUUUUACUCCUAUGCUCCGAAAAAUACCGAGAUUACAAAUUUUCACUUCUCAACCUCAAAUCAUACUCUAAUAAGUCAAAUAUGAUCAAAAUCUUUCAAACAAAUUCCCAUCUUGUCCUCGAGUGGCAAAAUUACCAUUUUGCUCCUAAAUAAUGAAAUUUUCGAUUUGACUCCAAAUUAAUCCUCGAACCCCGAAUCACCAUUCUAAGUCAUUUUAGGACUUUAAAAUUUUCAAUUUCACCCUAAAAUCUCUAUUUAAUCUAGUUCGAAGCUUAAAUCAACUUUGUUGUACCUUUAGGUAUAAUACCAAUUUUUGUAAAUUUUUCGGGACUCUCCUAGCAUGCAAACAUGUUAUCCAUCACAUGUAUGUCAUGACAAGUAUUUUAUAAGGUUGGACUUUACAAAUAAUGCCUUUACUCACCAAUGUGUCUUUGAUUGCUAGUCACUUUCAAAUAAGCUAUCAACAUAGGACUUCAAUUUUGAGAGGGGCUAAACCGAACCAAACAAGUUUCCAAUGAUCGAAUGGAUUGGAAUUGGAAAUGAGCACUUGAUGAUAGAUAGAAGCUGAAGAGUGAUUACCAUUAAUGUUGUAUUUCCAAACAAGCUUGUCUUGAAAGUCUCUGCAGAUUGCUUGCUCAUUAAUUACUAUGUUGAAGUUAGCCAAUUGGUCAUGUUCCCAUCCAAAGAUGUUCUUGCGAAGCUCGAUGUUCCACCUCCAAUCAUUGCCAACCUAGUCACCAAACUCAUCAAUAUUACAUUGCUUAUUGGCUGCUAAAGUGUAGAUUAUAGGAAAGUCUCUCUUGAGAAUGAAACCAUCAACGCAUUCAUCUUCCUAAAAGCUGAUGCAGCUUCCAUUACCCAAGGAUAGACCCAUACCAUUCACCAUAAAAGAGUUAAGAUCACAAACACCCAAGAAAGGUUUGGUGAUAUUUUUCCAUUUAUUGAAAGCCUUACUCAAGUUACCUAAGCACGGAAUAAGCCUAUUAUGAUCAAGACCAGAUUUUUCAAUAACAACUUGACUCCAUAAGCUUUCCCGCUCAUUGCCAUAUCGCCACAAUCAUUUAUUAAGAAGUGCUUUAUUUUAUAAUCCUAAAUCAACAAGACCUAGACCUCCAAGAUCACGAAAGUUGCAAACUACAGCCCAACUAACAUGGUAAAGUUUAUGGACAAGAUUUGGACCAUCCCAUAAGAACCUAAUAGUGAUAAAUUUUAUCUGAUACAUAUAUAAGAAUUCUAAUUCCAUUGAAUCACUCUCAUUAAAAAGUGAUAAUCUUGACUCAAUAUUAUUUAUUUAGUAUAUAUCUAAAUUAUAGUCACUUUAAAUAUUUAUAUUUUUAUUAUUAUUGAAAAAUAAAUAAAAGUAUGGAUACUUAAAAAAACAAGUUGACUAUAAUUUUUCAAUUAUAACAAUAAAUUAAUAGUAAUAAGAUUUAUUUGGUGUAAAGAUUUAUAAUAAUCUUAAUGAAAUUAUAGUAAUAAAUUAAUAGAGAUAAGGAUUUAUUUGCUCAUUCCUUCUAAACAAAGACCCAAAAACAAACACAAACAGAAAAGACACUACAAAAAAUAGCUUAUUUCCAACGAAAUUUUCUAUUGAAAAUAGAUUGAUUUUCGUUGAAAAUGCCUAUUUUCGACGAAUUUCCAACAGAAAAAUCAGUUGGAAACUCCGUUGGUAAUACUUUUCGUUGGAAAUCCGUUAAAAAUUUUCAACGAAAAAAUUUCGUUGAAAAAAUUGACUUUCUGAUGGCCAUCCCAUUGCAAUUCCGUUGGAAAACACUACAGCAAGAAAUUCUGUGGGAAAAGACAAUUCAGACGAAAAAUUCCGUUGAAAAUGGUUUUCCAACGAAAUUUCGUUGAAAAUUUCCAACGAAAUUUUCUGUCAGAAUAUUCUUUCCAACAAAAAUUUCCGUUUGAAACAAUUCCGUUGGAAAUUAUUUUCCAACUGAAUUUUAUGUUGGAAAUUUCUUUCCAACGAAAAAUUAUGUUGAAAAUUUUUCCGUUGGAAAUGUUUUUCCAACGAAAAAACUAAUUAAAUUUCCAACGAAAUUUUCUGUUGGAAAAACAUUUCCAACGGAAAAUUUCGUUGGAAAUUUAAUUGCAUAUCCUUUUACUAAUGCUUUUUCAACAAAAAUUACCAAUUUUCAUUUCAAUAAUAUAUUAUCAAUUCACAUCCGCAAUGGACUUUCAAAAUCUAUAAAAGAAACACACAUUAAAAAUCGAGAUUCAAAGUCGAAAUCAUAUAAUUAAAAAUUACCCUAAACACACAAUGUCUAAAAAAGUUAAAUACAUAUGAAAAUAAAGCUAAAUGUGUUAUUAAACAACUAUACUAAAAAGUAUCCAAGUGUAGCAGUGAAAAAUAGACAUCAUAUCAUGAAAUGUUGUGUUCUUACUUGUCCAGAUUUUAGCUUAAAGGUCUCACACCUCCUUGUUUUGAAUGCACAUUACUCAUUAUCAUGGUUUCUAUACGUGCCAUAAAUUCAGUCAUGCUUUCCGCCAUUGCAUUCUUAAUUUCUUCACGUAUUUCCCUAUGUAUUUCCUCACGUAUCUUAUCCAAGUUUUUUGAAAGAUUUUUCACUUUUUCUUCUAAUGCAAUUGCGAGACUAUUAACGUUGGAGUUGAUAAGGCCACAUGCAGACUCAGAUGUUGCUACAUUGUUGUGUGUUCCAGUAAGUAAAGCUGUAGCAGGCACCUGAGUACCAAACCCAUACACGUGAGUGCGUGUAGUCUCCAUCCCUCCAAUUGCUUCAGUCCAAGCAUACGGAUCGAAUUCUGGCUGAGAAGAUGAAUCAUCACCACACUUCUGCGAUAAUACAGAAUUAUACAUUUCUUGCAUAAAAAAAUAAAUAAGAUUAUUAUUCAACUAGAUAAUCAAUUUUAAAGUAAAAAUUAAUCAAUUUUGUACGUACACUUGUAAACUUGGACUUGUUAUCUAUAAAAUCAGUAUGACCACCUAAACGCUUAUGAGUAUGGUUGAACACUUUCAAAAAGCUAACAUCUCAUUUUAGCUCAAUUGCCUGCAUUAUUUACAACUAUAUAUACUCAAUCAUAAUCGAUAUAUAUAAAUAACAUGUAAGAAAAAACCAAAGUAAAACUAUUAAACAUACAAUUUAAAUUUAGUUUGAAAGAAAACCAUACAUAUAAAUACGAAGUAAGAUUAAUUCAUACCAUCCUUUUUGCAUGAACCACAAAUGAAACUGAACCGCCAGUGUGCUUUAAAAUGCUUCCUUCUUUUGACGUUAAAUGAUUUUGCCUUACUUUUUUAGAUUUGUUUUGCCAUUCUUCUGUACCCCAUACCGUAUCGAUAAGGGCAUCCCAUAUUUCAUUUGUAAUCCAUUCCCUUAACAUGUCAUUGCAAUCCCUAAUGUUGUUUGUUUUGGCUUUUGUCAUUGCUUUAUUCCUUUCUUUUGAAAGCAUGUCUCUUAACCGAUCGGAACAAAUUUUAUUCUACAUUCGUCGAACUAAAACAUCUUGAUUUGGAGACCAAACACAUGUUUCCUUUAACAAAAUAAUAGCGUAAUUAAAAACAUUUAUACAAAUUAAUUGAAAACAAAAACUUAUGAUUUAAUUGAAAAACAAACAUAGUACUUGAAAUUUUUGAAACAUUAACUCCUUUAUAUCAUUAGGGACUUUCCUCCAUGUCGACCAUGGACCAUUGAAAGUGAUUUUUGAUGAUACUUGUUUUUAUAACUGUGACCCCUCGCUAAAAAAAAGUACUUGUAGAAUAUAAAAAAAAAAUUAUAUAUUAAAAUUUAUAACAAAUAUAACAAUUUCAUUAACAAAUAUAACAAACAUAACAAGAUAACAUACCUCUCUCCAAUAGGAGUUAUAUGUAAUCUAUCGGAUGGAUCUACAGGAGUCUGUAAUCCUACACUAAGCCCCCUACUCCUUGACCUUGAGGAUGUGUCAUCUACACUUGCACCUAAAUCGGUAGAUGGGGAUCUAUGAGAAUUAUGAGUAGAUGUCUCAUUUUCUACUUGCUCUACAGAUGCACCCAACAAAGAAGGUGUCUGAAAUGGCACAUCAUUAUACUUCCGUUGCAUCUGUGGUUGAAUGGAUAUAUCAAUAAAUGCACUGGCAUUUAUAGGUAAAGAGAUACUUCCAGAGGCAUUUGUUGAUCUAGGUCUCAGUUUUGAAUGCUUCCUUUUAACCAUCGUUCCUGCAAUAUUUUUUUUGUUAAAAAUCAGACACAAAUUAUUUUCAAUAAAAUUGAAUCAACAUAUAAAAAUCAUCAAUUUCCAACAAUGAAAAGUAUGAUUUUUCAUUUGUACAAUCAAAGCUACAAUUAUAUAGUAUUAAUUUCAACAUUUAUAUCUAUAAACUUUCUGUUUAAUUUCAUAUCAUGUUAAGAUUUUUUAAUAGUAUAAAAUUAAAGUUAAACAGCUAUAUAACAAAAAAUAUAAAACCAAUAUCUUAUAUGCCUACCAUCAUCAAUCACUUCCAGAAUAAACAAACUCAUAUUUUUCAUUAUUAUCACUAUCCUCAUUAAAAGUUUCACAAUCGUCAUCUUCAAUUUGAUCUUGAUCUUGAUCUUCAUCUUCAUUUUCAUCUCCUUCCAUGUCGUCUUCUUUAUCUUCAUCUCUUUGCAUGUCAUCUUCUUCAUCCUCAAUCAAGAGAUUAAUCUUUUCAUAAUCACCACUUGCUAAAAUGUAAAGUUAUCAAGUUCAUCCAAUACAGUACCAGUAUUUGAAGUAGACACAUUUUCUUGGUAUCCUUUUUCAUUCAAGUCAAUUUCAUCUCUAUCUCCACCACUAGGAAUGUGAAAUCUAUUCCUAACUUUUGUUUUAAAUACUGCCCACCAAUCAUAUCGAUUUCUUUUAGUUGUUGGAUAACUACUAUAAUAAAUUUGGUGAGCUUGUGCAGCUAAAACAAAUAGUUCAUUAGUGGUAAGUAUUGAGUUGUAUUUAAUUUCAACAAGACCAUGCAAAAGAUCUACCUUAAUACCUUUUUCAGUGUCAAACCAAUGACACUUAAAUAGCAUAACUCUGUUUCUGAUACAAAAAUACUCCAGCUCGAUUAUAUCCACUAAAAUACCAUAAAAAUCAUGCUCAUGAUCAUUGUAAAAACUCCAUUUUAUGCAAACCUCACUAUUCAUUGUCUUACAAUUUUGACCGUAAUCUAGGGUGUGAAACUUGAAACCAUUUACAAAGUAUCCUUUGUAACACCUUAUCAUAUGUCCUGGACCAUAAGAGAUUUCGAGUAAACGUGGGUCAAUUUCAUCUUUACGUUUUGCAACCUACGAACAUGAAAUACAAGAUCAAAUAUUAAUAUUACAUAAUGAAUGCGUUAAUGUUAUUAAAAGUUCAAUUCUAAUUUACAUAAACUUACAUAAUUUUUAAACCAUUUCACGAAUCUUACAUCACGUACUUUCUCCAACUCAUCUUCUGAUAUAUGCACAACAUCUCCUUUGACAAUGUCAUCAAAUAUCAUAUCAUCAUAUCCACAAUUUAGUGAUUAAGUUCAUUCUUAUGAUCACUCAUUUGAGUUUGUGGUAGAAUGAUACUUACUUUAUAUAUGGGAGCACCUCUUCACAAUUCAUUAAAACAUAUAGCUCAGCAGCAUAAAACUCAUCCUCAUCUAAGAAUCGAGAUUUAUCUAAUGGACCAAAAGCUUGUCCAAGAUGAGUGAAAAUUGAAAGACGACCCAAAGAGUCCACGUCUCCCCCAUCAUCAUUAUGUGGCACUCUAUUUAAUCUUGUUCGCACAGCAGGUUCAAAAUACCAUGAGCAAAACGAGGAUAUUUUUUCGAUAAUAUAAGCCUCACAUAUAGAUCCUUUAACUGAUGCUCGAUUUUUACUUUCUUUUUCAAAUGUUGCAAAAACCUAAAAUCACAAUAUUCAUCAAACUUAUAAAGGACCUUAAACUCUUGUAAUAAAGUGUUUGAAAACAAAUAACAAUUAUAGUACCUCUCAAAUGGAUACAUCCAUCAAUACUGGACGGGUCCACCAACCUUCACCUUGUAAGGUAAAUGAAUUGGUAAAUGCUCUGUAUAGUCAAAGAAACCGAGAGGAAAGAUCUUUUCUAGUUUGCAUAUAGUUUCACAUAUCUUUCCUUGCAAAGUUUCCAUAUGAUCUACAGGUAUUUCAAUUGCGCACAAAUCCCUAAAAAAGUGAGAUAUCUCAGUAAUUACAUCCCAAAUUGAGUGAGGCACCAUAUCAUGAAGAUAAUUGACAACAAUUGUUGCAAAAAAAAUGACAAUCAUGACUUUUCAUCCCAUAAAAUUUGUAAUCAAUCUCAUUAACACACCAAGAAAUGUUCGACGCAAAACCAUCAGGUAAUCUCAAUUGUUUCACCCAAGCACAAACAUUUCUUAUUUCCUCCUUAUUUAAGGUGUAUGUAGCCUUAAGCUUGUAAAUUUUUUCAUUAAUUUCCACCAAUUCCAAUUCUAGCCGCUUGCAAUACACCUUCAAAUCUUGUGGUGCCUUUAAGUUGUCUGCUGUCUUUCCCUUAACAUCCAUCAUUGUGUUGAAUAUAUUCUCGAAAACAUGACGUUCAAUAUGCAUCACAUUGAGAUUGUGACAAAUAAGAAGCGUAUGCCAAUAAGGCAGAGCCCAAAAUAUACUCGUCUUCACCCAAUUAUGACUUACACCAUGACCCGAAAUCUUCUUAUCACCACAUUUUGUUCCGAAUGGGAGAUGACGAAGCGAAUUCAAUGGUGACAAUAUUUUCUCGCUUGAUAAUCGAGGAAAUGGUAAGUCAUGUUCAACUCUUUUUCAAAUAAAUUUAUCCCUCUGCCUCCUAAAAGGAUGAUCGGCUCGCAAGAAUUGCCAAUGACAAUCACAAAAACAAGGCUUCUUAUCAUGAUCAAAUAUGAAAGAUUUAGAAUGUUCCAUGCAAUAGAGACAUGAUAAUCGUCCAUGAGUACUCCACCCUGACAACAUACCGUAAGCAAGAAAAUCAUUAAUUGUCCAUAAUAAUGCUGCCCUCAUUUGAAAAUUUUGUUUUCUAUAUGCAUCAUUCGUGACAACACCCUGGGUCCACAAUACUUGCAACUCAUCUAUCCAUGGCCUCAAGAAAACAUCUAUGUUUUGACUUGGAUUUUUCUUGCCCGGAAUAACCAUAUUAAGAAAUAUAUAUUGUUGUUUCAUGCACAUCCAUGGGGGUAAGUUAUACACAGAGCAUUACUGGCCAAACAGAAUAAGGUUUCACAGUCGGUCUAAAAGGAUUGAAACCGUCAGCACAUAACCCUAGUCUGACAUUUCGAGGUUCCAUUGCAAAUAACUCAUGUGUGCAGUUGAAGUGUUGCCAAGCCUCACCAUCAACAAGGUGUUUAAGGACUCCAUCAUCCCUUUGGUUUUGCGCAUGCCACGUCAUAUGUUCAUCAGUUUUGCAAAACAUAUAAAGCCUUUGAAGCUUGGGUAUAAGUAGCAAGUAAUGCAAUAUCUUGUAAGGUAUUUUUUGCCUUUUCACACUUGAUUUUCUCAAUUUAUACCGAGGAUGCCCACAAAUCAUACAAUACUCAAAAUUAGCAGUUUUCUCAUAAAAUAACAUGCAAUUGUUUUUGCAAGCAUGAAUUUUGAUAUAUCUCAGUCUAAGUUUUGCUACCUUUUUCUUCAUUCUAUAAAAGUCAGUAGGUAAAUUUUCAUCUGAUGGCAACAUAUUCUUUAUUAUCUUCAACAGUUAAUCAAAACAUGAUUCACUCAAAUUGUACUCUGACUUAACAUUUAAAAGUUACGAUACAGCUGAAAGCGUUGUGUACUUUGUGCAACCUGACCACAAAGGUUCCUCUACAUUGCUUAACAAAGAGUAAAAGCUAAAUGCAUUUGGAUUUGGAUCUUCUUCCACAAACCUUGACUCAUUUUCAUAACCAUGGUUGAAAGCAACUUCUGGACCAAUAGCAUCCCUAACCAUUCUAGUAUAUGGAUUUUCUAUUUCCUCUUCACAUAUAGGUUCUCUAUAAUCCUCAUGUUCCUCAUUACUAGCAUAUGGUUCAAUUCUAUCUCUACUUCGUGAUGAUUGUCCAACAUCAUCUUUCCCAUGUAAGCUCCAAAUUGUGUAAGCACCAGUAAAAGCCUUUCUAAGGAUGUGCUUUGUUACCGUAUCGGAAUUUAGAAACUUGUUGUUAUUACAUCGAAAGCAGUGGUAUCUAAUUUUAUUAUCCCACAUAAAUGUAGACUUAGAAUGUGCAAAAUUAAUGAAUUCAUUAACUCCAUUUACAAAUUCAUCUUUAAUGAAUCUAUCAGAAGUUAAGCGACGAUACAUCCAAGAUCAAUCUCCCGUCAUUUUGUCAUCCUAAGUGUCAUAAAAUAUAACAGUCAAGAGUAAUUUCCACUGUUGUUUAUAAUAAAAUUUGUUAACAACUAUAUUUCAAUAUGCAAAACUAAGUUAAAUAAUUUAAAUAUAGUAAGAAAAAAGUAAUAACAUAUGAGGAUAGUAAAAAUGAUUCCAUACAAGAAAUAGUGAAAUUCUACUUCACCAGUCCCAAUACAAAAGCUAUGUUCGACUAGACCAAUGCACAAGUCAAGUUCAUGGGCCUGACCUAUCUUGAUCAACUUUGUAUACAACACCGGUAGUAUAAAUACGACCUCAAUUUAAAAAUUUUUAAGUUUUGAUUAAUUGUGUUUAGUUCAAACAUAUUUAGUAUUUUGUUAAGACUUAUUUAUUAAUUUAUAUAAAUAUUAAUACUUUUAUUAAUAUUAAAAUUUAUUUUAUUAUAUUUAAUAAUCAAUUUCAUUUUUGUAAUUUUUAAUUGUAAAUUUGAUCUAUAUAUUUGACGUGUACAUAUUUUCAUUAUUUAUUUUAAUCAUUUUAAUCGUAUCAAUUGUGUGUUAAUUGUUUAAACAUGUUAUAAAUUAUAUAAGUUUGAAUCAUGUUAAUCAUAUCGUAUUGUAUAAAAUUUAACUCGACACACAUAUAAUAAAUGUUUUAACCGUGUCGUAUUAUGUUACAUAUUUAUUAAACAUAUUUGUAUAUGUAUUUAAGAUCUUAAUACGAUUAAUUAAUCGUGUUGUUUUUAUAUUUACCCAUAUAACUAUUAAUACUCUAUGUUUACACAAAAUAGUUAAAAAACGAAAAUACAAAUUGUUAGGUCUAAUUAAGCUCUCAACUAUAUAUUUAAGGUGUCACUCAACUUGAUAACAUAUAUUAUUAAUAAAUAAUAUANNNNNNNNNNNNNNNNNNNNNNNNNNNNNNNNNNNNNNNNNNNNNNNNNNNNNNNNNNNNNNNNNNNNNNNNNNNNNNNNNNNNNNNNNNNNNNNNNNNNNNNNNNNNNNNNNNNNNNNNNNNNNNNNNNNNNNNNNNNNNNNNNNNNNNNNNNNNNNNNNNNNNNNNNNNNNNNNNNNNNNNNNNNNNNNNNNNNNNNNNNNNNNNNNNNNNNNNNNNNNNNNNNNNNNNNNNNNNNNNNNNNNNNNNNNNNNNNNNNNNNNNNNNNNNNNNNNNNNNNNNNNNNNNNNNNNNNNNNNNNNNNNNNNNNNNNNNNNNNNNNNNNNNNNNNNNNNNNNNNNNNNNNNNNNNNNNNNNNNNNNNNNNNNNNNNNNNNNNNNNNNNNNNNNNNNNNNNNNNNNNNNNNNNNNNNNNNNNNNNNNNNNNNNNNNNNNNNNNNNNNNNNNNNNNNNNNNNNNNNNNNNNNNNNNNNNNNNNNNNNNNNNNNNNNNNNNNNNNNNNNNNNNNNNNNNNNNNNNNNNNNNNNNNNNNNNNNNNNNNNNNNNNNNNNNNNNNNNNNNNNNNNNNNNNNNNNNNNNNNNNNNNNNNNNNNNNNNNNNNNNNNNNNNNNNNNNNNNUAUAUAUAUAUAUAUAUGUAUAUCAUCUCAUAUUACAAAACAUGACUAUAUAUAGGUGUAAUAAUUAUAAGAUAUUAAUAUGUAGGAUAUUUACUAUCACAUUUAAUAUUAACAUAUAAGUUAUAUUAUUUGAAAUAUAUAACUUAUAAAUUCAUCUUAAUACAGAUUUAUAAAUAUAUAUAGCAAAUAUUAAAUUGCUAUGAUUAUGAUUGGUAUACGCACAUAUAAUAAGCUAAUGUAUUUUAAAUAUAUUAUUAAUUAAGCUUACAAUCAUUAUUUUUAAUUUAUAUUAACUAAUAUUAGUACAUCAAGUAUUAUUAUUUUUGUAUACCGUAUAUGGUUAUAUAUUUAUAAAUACCCAUGAUUUCAAUCAUUAAACUAUAAUAUGACAGAAAUCGUAAAGAAUGAUGUACUCAAAGUAAUAUUAGAAUUUUUUUGAUAUGAAUAUAAUCAUUAUAAAACGUAAUGUUAUAUAUAAUUUAUUGUUUAUAUAAGAAAUGACACAAAUUAUAUAUUAUAAUAUUAUAUAUUACAAAGUUUGUAUAACUAAUAACUAAUUGUAAACAAUAUAUUAUAAAAACUAAAGUAAUAACUAAUAAAGUUAUUAACCGUAAUCAUAUAAAUAAAAUUUAGUAUAAAUUAUAGUAUUAAUGACUACAUAUAAAAUAGAUAUAUGUAUAUUAUAAUUAAUAUAAAUAUAUAUAUAACUAUAUAGUUAUAUAUAUGUGUGUGUAAUAAUAUAAUAUAAUAAUAUAUAUAUAAAUAUAUAUUAACUUAUAAAGUUAUAUCAAUUAAAGAAUAUAACUUGUAAUUUCAUAUUAAUAGAAUAAGUUUUUUUUUUGUUAAUAAUACAGGUUUAUAUAUAUAGUCUAACAUAACUAUGAUUCUAAUUUAUAUACAUAGAUAUAAUAAAUGUUAAUAAAUUUUUAAAUAUAUUAAUUUAAUAAGUUCAUUAUAUAUCUAUCUUCUGAAUUUAUAUAUAUUAACUAAUUAAUAUUAUAACAUACAUAAAGUAUUAGUAUUUUUAUAAAUUUUCUUAUUAUAUCUUAUCAAGUGUUUUUUUAAAAACAAAAAAUUUAUUUUGUUAUUUUUAUCAAGUUUUUAAUGUUAUAGAAUUAAUGAAUUUGAAAUUAUUAAUUUAUAAUUUAUGAUUCAAUAAAAUUUUCAAAAAUGUAUAAAAAUUAGCAUAAGAAAACAUAAUUAAACUUUUAAAUAUUAUAAACUUCACAUAUUAAUAUAUUUUCUUUUAUCAAUAUCUAUUUUUAUAAAGGACUAAUAAAAUUUAUAAAAAGUUCAACAUAGUUGAAGUAUAAAAAUUUAAAAAAUCUAUUGCCAAUGGAAUUUUUCAAUGAAAUAUUCUGUUGGAAUUCUAUUGAAAAAUUUUCAUUGGUAAUAUAUUUUUCUAACGAAAAUUUUCGUUGGAAACUUUGGUGGGCUUUCAAAUUUUUUGGGUUCCUCAACAUUCCAAUGAAAAAUUUUUCAUCAAAAAUUCCGUUAGAAAAUUUGGUGGGAGGAAUUUUUGGUUGGCUUCAAAACAUUUUCCAAAAGAUUUCCAACGAAAAUAUUUUGUUGGAAACACGUCGAAAAAAAUAAUUAAAAUUUUUUAUUCAUAUCCGUUGGAAAUAUGUUUAAAAUUUCCAACGAAAUAUUUUCCCUUGCAAAAAACCUAUUUUCUUGUUGUGAGAUAAAUAUAAGAGCUAAAAAUGUAUUAUGCAAAAGUUGUUUCUAAUUGUCCGAAGGUCUUUCAUUUAAUUUAUCGUUUGUGGGAAAUGUACCCAACAUUAGGCAUAUCAUCAUAUUCAGAUUUCUUCUGAACAAAAUGAGCAACGAGUUGCAAAUUUUUCGUAUCUAGCAACCCAUAACUUUAUUCGAAAUUAUUUGAAAAGUUUCUUUUCUUUUUUCCUAACUCAAAAGCCAUCCACCCCGUUACUAUUCUCAUUCAAUGACUCUAUCUUGUUGACUUUUUAUGUCAACAAAGAAAUCACUUGACUUCGGAAAGAGAAACCAAUUUCAACAAAAAAAAAAGUCUAAAUAGGAUUGGCAUAAAACUGAAAACAGUCAUUGCUUACCAAAUUAAGUUUAAAUAAAGAUGUUGGCUUAUAAGCCAACUCUCGCUAGUUGUUGGAUUUCUCAUUCCUUUCCAAAGUAGGAACGAUUGAAUAUUAAUAUAUGCCCAAUUCUUAUUCUACAACCAUUAAUCCAACUCUCACCUUGUUUUCAAUUCAACCAAGAAGAUAUCUCAUUCUUUCAAAAUUUUGAUCCUUUUGCUUUUACUCUUCCAAAACAUCAAACAAUCCUAUCAACAGCUUCGUGACAGUGAUAAUGUCUCAAAGAAUUAUGAGAAAAUUGUGAAAAAUGACCUUCAUACAAAGGUGACUUCAAAAAUGACUGUCUUUAUAAUUUUAACUGUUUUUAGCUAAUUUUUGGUAUGACUUGACAAUAAUACCCUUUAAACAAUUUCAGACAAAUUAAAUGGUUUCAGCUUUCUCUCUCCCGCCAUCUAGAUAAAAAUUUCAAAAUUAAAUCUCGAUUUCUCUCUCUACUCAAAUAUGUCUAUUUCGUCAUCCAAUUCGCAAAUAUGACAUCAAGCUCUUUCUUAUUUUGUUUUAUUUUUUUGAAUGGUGGAUCUUGGGGUUCUUAAGGGCGAUGAAUAGUAAUUUUGCUCUUUGCAGGCAAUGAUUUUGCUCAAGGAGAAAGAACAGCUAAAGCAUGUUUGAUGGAUUUUAUGGUGGUUCAUGGUUUUAUUGUGUUUGAAAUUGGGAUGAUUGUUAAGCAUGUUUGCUAGGGAUUUUGGUUUUUUUAAUGAAUUUUUGAGUUGAAAUUGUUUAGGAAAUAUUUUGUAAAGAGGGUAUAUUUUGUUUUUGUAUAAGGGGAGUGAGCAAGUCCUCCUGAUAGGGAUAUAUUUUCUCUUGCUUUGGAGGGUUAUGGAGUUUUGUAAUAUAUCUUUUAUGAAAUACACAAUUUCAGGGCUUAGCAAAAAAAAAUGUGUUUUAGGUUCUUAAAUUUGUUGGUUUAUUCAUAGAACCCCAAAAUUGAGUUUACUGGUUUUUAGGUAUUGCGUGACUUAAUCACCGUGUGACUAGUUUUGAGUCAUUACGUGAUUGGUUUUAGACAUUACGUGACUAGUUUUUAUACAUUGCAUGACUGAUUUUUAAACAAUGCCUAAGUCACACAAUACCUUACGAACUAGUCACGCAAUGCCUUAUUAACAAGUCACGCAAUACUUAUCAACUUGUCAUGCAAUGCCUUAUUAGAAACUAGUCACGCAAUGUCUUAUAAAAAACUAGUCACGCAAUGCCCAAAGUCAGUCACGUAAUGCCUUAUAAAAAACUAGUCACGUAAUGCCUUAUCAAAAAUUAGUCACAUAAUACCCAAAGUCAAUCACGCAAUACUUAAAAACUAGUCACAUAAUUUCCAAAAAUACCAAAACUACUGAAUUCCAUUUAAUAAGAUCAAUAACUUCAAAUGAUACACUAUAUUCCAUUUAACAACAUAAUUAACAAAUAUGAAUACUCAAAAUGUUCGAAAGUUUUUCUUCAUAUAUAAAAAAUCACUCUAAAAUGUUUAAAAAUGGUCAAAACUCUCACAAGUUUUCUUCAUAUAUCAAAAACUACUUUAAAAUGCUCAAAAUGCUUAAACGUUUUUCUUUCUAGUAAGAAAUACUCCAGAGAUGAAUAGUUUGGUAAGGAAAGCUCAAAAAAUAUGAGUCAGUUUGAGACGCAAACCUAAACAUACUUGACCCGUUAAUAGGUUUCGGGUUGAGGUGCGAAGCCUAGCGAAUGGAUCGGUUUCAUUAAGGAUAAUUUUGUCCAAUUUUUUUUCUCUUGGCUAAAAACAGAUAAAAUUAUAGAGAGGAUUAUUCUUAAAAACGCCUUAUGCCUCAGGCCCAUUUAUGAAAAACACUCAAGAAUUAUCACCAAAUCCACCUCCCUCAAGUCACCCAAUAAAUAUUAUUGUUAUAAUAUCAUUAGGAUUCUUAUAUAUGUAUUAGAUAAAUUUUAUCACUAUUAAUUUAUAAUUGUUAUAGAAAAUAUAAUCAAUAAUAUUUAUUUAAAAUGACUAUUAAAAAAUAAAAUAAAUAAAAGCAUUAUGUUUUUAUUAAUAAUUUUUUAUAAAUAGAUAGAUAGAUUAAUAGUUAUCAAUAUUAACUUCCAAGGUCAACAAAUUAUUAUAAACUUGAGCAUUAACAGGUACUCUUGAAUUUUAUUCAACUUAAUCCAUGUACUCUUUAAUUUUGUUUAAUUUAGUCAUUAUGAUGUGGCACAAAAAUUGUUUGGAUCUACCACUUCAUCAUUGUCAUGUCAACAUGUUAAUGUCACAUCAUCAUUGCCAUGUAAGCAUUUCAAACCCACGUCAUUACCACAUCAGCAUGACGUAAGUAACAAUAAUGACAAGAUUGAACGGCGUUAGGGAAAGGGACUCAAUUGCAUAAAAUUUCAAAAUUGAAGACUAAAUUAACCAGUUUUGGGGUAAAAGGAUUAAAUUGACGAAAACACCAUAAUAUAGAAAACCUAUUGGGUACUUUGAUUAGUUUUCAAUAAAAUAAAUUUAUUUAGAGACAUGAACGGAGAUAUAACGAUUGAAACGUCUCAUAAGGAAUGUCACAUAUUAGAUAUGAUUUUGAGGCAUGAUGCUCCAUACUUGUUAAGUUAAAAAGAGUGAUACCAUAAAAUUUGUGUGGGUAAUGUAAGGAAAUAUCCUAUUAUGAAAGAAGUUUCAUUAUUCUACUUAAUUUGUACUCACUAAUGUGCCUAGUUGGUAAAUAUUGUGGAAUUAUCAUUCUUAUAUGUUUUAGGAAUAUCUCUAUUUUUGAUGCACAUUCAUUCACCUAAAGAUAGUAUUUGCAAAUUAAAAUUAGAGGACAACAUAUAAGAACAUUUGUGCUGGAAUUGAUUAGCUUUAGUAAUUUAUUCAACUAAAUGUGAUAAGUGAGAAAAUUUGUAAUAAAUGACUUUUUUAUUUUUUUAUUUUAUAUGUGAGAGAGUUUUUAAUUGCAUAUCAUGUAUUCAACUUAAAAGUAUUUAUAUGAUGAUGUGCUUAGAGCUAUAUAAAAUAGAGAAUAAAAUGAUUUACAAAUGAAUACAAGAUAUGAAAUAAAUCAUUAAGAAUGCAAUUGAUACCACCACAAUAAUUGAAUAUGUCUAUCAUAAUUGAAUGUGGGAAGAGUGUGGGAUGGGAAGGCCCCUGCCCUUCUACCUUUGGCUUUGCCUUAAUUAUAACUUAGUGUGGAUGUUGUACAUUUGUUACAAGAAUUAUUGUAUGACAAAAACUUCUACCAAAUUUAAUCAAAAUUUCUGAUGAUUAAAUAUUAAAAAAGUUUUAAGAAAAUCACUAUGGUUAUCCUUCUCAUAAAUGUAAACAUAGCAUGUUAUUAAACGAGAUUUAUUUAUUUGUUGUCAAUUUUCAAUUUUAAUUUAAUUUAGUAACUCUUAAGUGCAAUAUUUAUGAGCUUUAACUGAUAAUUUUCGCUUAGCUUCACCCAGUAAAGCAUCAACUAGAUUUUUUUUCCCUUCUUUUCUUGUUAUUUAUUCUAAAUAAAGAAAAGUAUUUUUCUAACUCCAAAGUCGAAGAUGUUGAACCAAUAUCAUUUAAUAUAUAUAUAUAUAUAUAUAUAUAUAUAAAUAUAUACCAUUUACUAUUUUCGUUUCGUAAUGAGUUUGAAGAAUUCCCGAACAAACUAGCCAUCGAAUUGUGAAUUCUUAAUUCACUAAUUAGUCUUCAACUCACACCAAGGCAACCUUAAAAUAUGACAAGGUCCUUCGUUGGUUUUCCGGAUAGCAAUUGCUAUGGUUUUAGUAGGAAGAGAAAAUAAUUUGUUUGAGUAUGCUAUGAAUGUGUUCAUUUUUCCCACAAUAAAACAAAUGAAUUGGAAAAAUUCAGUAAGCUGAUCGCUCUGCUCUGCUGUAGACAGUUUGCACAAAGAAAGUAGUUGAAAAGAUUUCUGUCAAUAUCUCCACUAACAAGCAUGGAUCCAACCAUAGAGUUGAUGAUUACAAAGGUUUUUCUGCAUUGGUUUUGAGACAAAACUGGAAAGGGCAGUGCUAUUGCUUUCCAGUUGCUAUCACCAGCUGCCCUCUCAAAUUUUCCAGCCAUUGUUAGGGACCCCACCUGGGAAGUAAAAGGACAUUUUAUAAUAAGUGGAAAGAUUAAAGAAUACAAAUUAAUCACUUGACAUAACUCUAACAAUCGCACCUGUAAAACGGGAGCAUUAAUAUGCAUUACUCUUUAUUAUUACAUAUGGACAGUAGAUGUUUUCUCAACAGAGUUUACCCUUCUUUUAAAAAAAAAAACAAAAAAGAGGGAAAACUUUAAGAAAACCAAGUAAGAAAUGUUGAUUUUGGUUUUUUCCCCCUUCUUAUCAUAACUAUUUAUUGCGAAAAUAGCAAGUGGGAAUAUUUAUCUUCAUCACGUUUUUCCAUUUGUCUUCCUGAUUUGGGUUUUCUUUCUCAAUUUAAAUAUUGGUAUUUAAUUCUUCGUCUCAAUUUGAUUUACCCUCUAAAAGAAACUAAUCAAAGUCCAUCAAUCAUUUUUGAGAGAGGAAGUAAUCUCUUGUUGCAUAUCAUCUGAUAACGUAUUACAUACAAAAUAGGGAGAAUUCUCAAAGAACAAAAGAAUCGUGAGUUGGCUUGAAGAAGAAAAAGAAUCGAAAGAAUAUUGAUCUAAUUAAUAGCUGUUAAUGUUGCCUCUAAGACAUGUUGCAUUCUGGAGGUAGACCUUGGGGAAAUCUCUGGGCGUCGGUGCAGUAGUUGUAGAUCAUGUAGUUCUUCUGGACCCAUUGUAACCUUUGCUGACUAGUGGAAUCCAGCUCCUGAGAGAGCCACGCAUUGUUGGUUGAGGAAGAAGAUGGAGAAUUUGAUUUACAGGAAGAUGCUCCAUUAGACCAGACACAGGCAUUGGCAUUGAAUUCUCUGUAAGAAGCAGUCAAUGGAGCUUGAGUCCAAUCUGUCUUUACCAGACCACCCCUUGUAGCCCAAUCAUCAGCGUUCCACAGGCUGGAGUAAAUUCUCAUCGGUUGGUUCUUUGGAAAUGGGACACCAAGUGACUCCAUGUUUUUGAACUCUCUAAUGGGUGUGCCAUCCACCGAGAAGCUGGAACAUAGUAUAACAAGAUUUGUCAAUCAAGCAAUUCCUACCAAAGAAUAAAAGAAAAAAAAAAUUGGGGCAAAAUGCAAAUUUUCAAUUUAAGGAACACUCACAUGAUACGUUGGGAAUUCCAGAGGAUGGAAUAGGUGUGGAAAUCUGCAGUUGGGUCAAACCAGAGAUAGAACUGUUGCUCUCUGUUUCCCUUUCCUUGACUGAACACAUUGGUAUGAAGAAUGUAAGGAUCCCCACUAAGGUUCCCCAGAAACUCAAAAUCAAUCUCAUCCCAUGUUGAUCCUUUGGAAGAUAGCUGCAGAUAGAAAUAUACAUCAGCAUUUGUGCCAUCAACAUCUACACGUCCUCGUAAAAAUUGCGGACACCAAGAAUUAAUUAGAGAAUAACUUACAUAGUAGGCAGUGACUGUGCCAGCAGAGUUGCCAUGGACAAGCUUGAGCUGCAUAUCAAUCUCGCCAAAAAGAUAUUCAUCCUUGGACUGGAAACCGGAGCCAGAAGCUUUGUCAAGGGAGAGAGUGAGAACCUCUCCGUUGUUGUCUAUCUUACCACGGCCAUCUCCCCAUGUGAUGUCAAAAUCUUGGUAGAAGUUGCUAGCAGAUGCCGCCAUGAGACAGCCCAUUACGAGAGACAUAAGCAAUAUAUAAUUGAAACUUGAAGUUGAACCCUUUUUUUUUUCUGGUUUGCCUGAGCAGAGAGAAUAUGUUGGAAUUUGAGACGUUAAUAGCUUGAUACUUUGGUGUGUUUGAGAAGAAGGAUAGAGCUUGGUAUUUAUAGUAAAGAAAAAGGUAGAGGAAAAGGCCGCGAAGCUCCGUUCAGCUUGGUUGUGCACAGUUGUAGAGUAGGAAACAUAUUAUAGAAGUAGCUGUCAAGAUUGCACCAACGAACAGGACCCAACCAAAACACAGUUUAUGAUAUCACGCGGUUUACCUCUAUUUGUUUGUUUCAUUUUUGUGUGUGUAAGAGGAAAGUGCAGUCCUUUCGGCUUAUUGGUGCUCAGUUCCUGUCGCCUUGUUAGGCUUUUGGCACUAUUAGCUCCGGCUCACUUCCAGAACCAUGCACACGCAGCAGCACCGCCUUUACUAACCGAACAAUCCAAAAUAUUAAAGGAUUAAAUAUGUAAAAAUCAUUUUUUCCCCAAAAAAAGGGAAAACUUAAAGAAAACCAAAUAAGAAAUCAUGUCAGCACUCAGUUGACUCCAUAAUAGUUCUAUUUUACCCUUAGUAAUAUUAAACAUUUAAUUUUGAUUUAAGAACUCGGAGACAAUCGACUAAGAAAUAAAUGAUAUGUGAGUCAUAACUAUUUAUUGCGUACAUAGCUGGUGGGAAUGCUUAUCUUUAUCACGUUAUUUAAUUUGUCUUCUUGAUUUUGAUUUUCUUUGGACGACUUCUUCUUAUUCUCUUGAACCUCUUCAACAUUCUUUUAUUUUUUGCUUGACUCAAUGUUGUUUCUGUAUUAAAAAAAAAUACCAAAUUUCUUGUCUUGUUCUCUGUUUUUUUAUUCAGUUUUCAUGACAUCAAGCAGUACCUUUCUUUCUUCCUCUUUUUUUCAAUUUUCAUGACAUCAAGCAGCACCUUUCUUUCUUUCUCUUUUCCAAACAUCACUAAUCUUGUCUCUGUAAAAUUAGAUUCUCAUGAUUACUUUUUUUUUAAUUAAGAAAAAAAAUUUAAAUCUUACUCUUUAAACAAAAAAAUAUAAACCAAUCAAUAAGUAAAACACUCAAAUGUGAAUUUUGUAACCAAUAAAAUUUGAAAAAUUGAUUGUUGGUCUAGAGAAGGCAUUCGACCAUUUUAAUGCCCAUCUUGUUGCAAGUCCAUGCUGUUAAGCUCGGCAAAUUUUCAUGAUUGCUUAUAUGUGAAAAAGCUCCUAUUUGUAUGUCGCACAUUCAAGUUAAAUGUGCUUACAAGAGGAUAUGAUUAAAGCUAUAUAAAAUAGAAGAUAAAAUAUCUGACAGACCAAUACAAGACAUGAAAUAAAUCACUAAGAAUGCAAUUGACACUACCACAUUGAAUAUGUCGAUGAUAAAUUAAUGUGGGAAGAGUGUGCGAUGGGAUGGCCCUUGCCCCUCCACCUUUGGCCCUGCCUUAAUAGUAACGCAGCGUGGAUGUACAUUUUGUUUCAAGAAUUAUUGAAUGAUAAAAACUUCUACCAAAAUUAAUCAAAAUUUGUUAUGAUUAAAUAUUAAAAUUUUUUAAGAAAAUCACUAGGGUUAUCCUUCUCAUAAAUGUAAACAUAACUAAUGGAAUAUUUAUUUUUAUCACGUUAUGUUCAUUUGUCUUCCUCACUUUGGUUUUCUUUUCCAAGUCCUUGUUUUCUUUGAAGUGUAAAAUCUGUGUCCCUGUUUUCUGAAGUCCUUGUUCUCUGUCCCAUAUAAAAAUAUUUAAAAUCUCUAAAUAUUGGUAUUUACUUCUUCGUCUCGAUUUGAUACAUAUACCCUCUAAAUGAAACUGAUCCAAGUCCAUCAAUUUGGGGAGAGAAGUAAACUCUUGUUGUUGCAUAUCAUAUGAUAACGUAUUACAUACAAAAUAGGGAGAAUUCUCAAAGAACAAAAGAAUCAUGAGUUGGCCUGAAGAAAAAGAAUUGAAAGAAUAUUCAUCUAAUUAACAGCCGUUAAUGUUGCCUCUAAGACAUGUUGCAUUCUGGAGGUAGACCUUGGGGAAAUCUCUUGGCGUCUGUGCAGUAGUUGUAGAUCAUGUAGUUCUUCUGGACCCAUUGUAGCCUUUGCUGACUAGAGGAAUCCAGCUCCUGAGAGAACCACGCAUUGUUGGUUGAGGCAGAAGAUGGAGAAUUUGAUUUGCAGGAAGAUGCUCCAUUAGACCAAACACAGGCAUUGGCAUUGAAGUUUCUGUAAGAAGCAGUGAAUGGAGCUUGAGUCCAAUCUGUCUUUACCAGACCACCCCUUGUAGCCCAAUCAUCGGCAUUCCACAAGCUGGAGUAAAUUCUCAUCGGUUGGUUCUUUGGAAAUGGGACACCAAGUGACUCCAUGUUUUUGAACUCUCUAAUGGGUGUGCCGUCCGCAGAGAAGCUGGAACACAGCAUAACAAGAUUUUGUCAAUCAAGCAAUUCCUACCAAAGGAAUAAAAGAAAAAAAACUGGGGCAAAAUGCAAAUUUUCAAUUUAAUGAAUACUCACAUGAUACGUUGGGAAUUCCAGAGGAUGGAAUAGGUGUGGAAAUCUGCAGUUGGGUCAAACCAGAGAUAGAACUGUUGCUCUCUGUUUCCCUUUCCUUGACUGAACACAUUGGUAUGAAGAAUGUAAGGAUCCCCACUAAGGUUCCCCAGAAACUCAAAAUCAAUCUCAUCCCAUGUUGAUCCUUUGGAAGAUAGCUGCAGAUAGAAAUAUACAUCAGCAUUUGCGCCAUCAACUUCUACACGUCCUCGUAAAAAUUGCGGACAACAAGAAUUAAUUACAGAAUAACUUACAU
rnacentral:lncRNA from 1 species